AUUGAACGCUGGCGGCAGGCUUAACACAUGCAAGUCGAGCGGAGAUGAGGUGCUUGCACCUUAUCUUAGCGGCGGACGGGUGAGUAAUGCUUAGGAAUCUGCCUAUUAGUGGGGGACAACAUUCCGAAAGGAAUGCUAAUACCGCAUACGCCCUACGGGGGAAAGCAGGGGAUCUUCGGACCUUGCGUUAAUAGAUGAGCCUAAGUCGGAUUAGCUAGUUGGUGGGGUAAAGGCCUACCAAGGCGACGAUCUGUAGCGGGUCUGAGAGGAUGAUCCGCCACACUGGGACUGAGACACGGCCCAGACUCCUACGGGAGGCAGCAGUGGGGAAUAUUGGACAAUGGGGGGAACCCUGAUCCAGCCAUGCCGCGUGUGUGAAGAAGGCCUUAUGGUUGUAAAGCACUUUAAGCGAGGAGGAGGCUCUUUUGGUUAAUACCCAAGAUGAGUGGACGUUACUCGCAGAAUAAGCACCGGCUAACUCUGUGCCAGCAGCCGCCGUAACAC
rnacentral:rRNA from 1 species